GCGCGAAAACUGCACAAUGCUGGAAACAGCGAUGCGGGAACACCAAGUGCCGGCACAGAGUGUCGGCUGUUCCAUUGCCUAAAAAGCAUAGGAAGUAAGGGCUGGGUAAGACGGGUGCCAGCCGCCGCGGUAAUACCUGCAGCCCGAGUGGUGGCCGUUAUUAUUGGGCCUAAAACGUCCGUAGCCUGCUCAGUAGAUGCCUGUGUAAAUCGAACGGCUUAACCGUUCGAACUGCGGGUAGACCGCUGGGCUUGGGACCGGGAGAGUCACGAAGUACUCCGGGGGUAGAGGUGAAAUUCUGUAAUCCUCGGGGGACUACCGGUGGCGAAGGCGUCGUGAUAGAACGGCUCCGACGGUGAGGGACGAAGCCCUGGGGCGCAAACCGG
rnacentral:rRNA from 1 species